UUUUUGCAGCUGCACCUGUAGCAUUUGGAAGUUCCCAGGCUAAAGGCUGAAUCGGAGCUGUAGCUGAUGCCUGUGCCACAACGGUUUAACAAUGAAUCUGAGCCACAUCUAUAACUUACACUGAAACUUGUCGCAAUGCCAGAUCCUUGACCCACUGAGCGAGGCCAAGGGUCAAACCCACAUUCUCACAGAGACAACAUCAAGUCCUUGACCCUCUGAGUCACAAUGGGAACUCCAUUUUUUUUACAUACUCGAUGAUAACCUUUUGAAGUACAAAAGUUUUAAAUUUUGAUGAAGUCCAAUUAAUUUAUUUUUUCUUCUGUUUUUCAUGAUUUUGGUGUCAUAUCUAAGAAUUCUUUGCCAAAACCAAAGUCUUGAUAUUUACUCCUAAGUUUUCUUUUGACAAUUUUAUAGUUUUAGCUUUUACAUUUAGGUCUUGCUCCAUUUUGAGUUAUUGUAUAUGGUGUAAUAUAACGGCUCAGCUUCAUUAUUUUGCAUGUGACUAUUAAGCUGUCUUAGCACCAUUGGCUGAUGCCACUCCUUCCUCAAUUUAAAUUCCUUUGCAUAUUAACAAGUUCAUUCACAUGCCUAAAGGCAUCUCAUAUUUAACACACCAGAAGAGAAUUCUUGAUUUUUUUCAUUAUACCUUAUUGCUGCUCCUUCUCCAGUCUUCCCCAGCUCAGUGAAAAGAUAUCAUAAUACACUCAAUUGUUCAAGUCAAUAAUUUUUCUUUUUUUGCCCUUUGUCUUUUUAGGGCUGCACCCACAGCAUACAGAGGUUCCCAGGCCAUGGGUCAAANUUUGGAGCUACACCUGCAAUCUAUACCACAGCUCAUGGCAACGUGGGAUCCUCAACCCAUUGGGCAAGGCCAGGGAUCUAACCUGCAUCCCCAUGGAUGCCAGUUGGGUUUGCUAACUGUUGAGCUACAACAGGAACUACAACAGGAACUCCUAAGUCAAUAAUUUAUCCUUGUUUUCUUUUAACUCUAUCUUCAAAACAUGUUAAUUUUCUUUAUCUUCUCUUUUCUAUAAUCAAUUUGGAGGUAAUUUCACUUAGUUCCAUGACUUAAAUACUAUAUAUAGGCUGUGCACUGUGAUAACACAAAUUCACAUUUCUAAUUUCAUCUCCACCUCUGAACUUUAGUCUUAUAUAUACAACUGUCCAGCGGACAAUUCCAUGGGAAAUUUAAUAGACAUCUUGAACUUAAUGCGUCCAAAAGAAAGCUCUUGGCUCCCAACUGUCCCCACACCCUUUCUACAUUCCAUAUUAACCUACUGUUUGGGAGAAAAGCCUUGGCAUUUUCUUGGCUCCUUACUCUCACACCCAGUAUCCAAUGGGUUAGCAAAUCCUGCAGGCUCUACCUUCAAAUUAUAUCCAGAACAUACCCACGUCUUACAAUUUACACUGCUCCCAAUCUUGGCCAAGCCACCAUCAUCUCUUGCCUGGUUUAUUUCAACAGCCUCCAAAUAAUCCCUCUGCUUCCUUUCUUUCAUCCCACUUCUGUCGUCCUUUUUUUUUUUUUUUCCCAUUUUUAAAAGUUGUAUUGAAGUAUAGUUGAUUUACAAUGUUGUGAUAAUUUCUGCUGUACGACAAAGUGAUUCAGUUACACAUGUACACACAUACAUUCUUUUUCAGAUUAUUUUCCCAUGUAGAUUAUCACAGAACAUUGGGUAGAGUUCCCUGUGCUAUAUAGCAGGUCCUUGUUCACCAGUCAUUCCAUAUACUGCAGUUUGCACAGGCCAGCCCCAAAUCCCCAAUCCAUCCCUCAUCUCCACCUGUUCCCUUUGGUAACCAUAAGUUUGUUUUCAAAGUCUGUGAGUCUGUUUCUGUUCUGAAAAAUUUGCAUACUUUUUCAUAUUCCACAUAUAAGUGAUAACAUAUGAUGUCCAUCUUUCACUUCUGACUUACUUUACUUAGUAUGAUAAUCUCUAGGUCUACCCAUAUUGCUGCAAAUGGCAUGAUUUCAUUUUUUUAUGGCUGAGGAAUAUUCCCUUGUAUACAUGUGCCACAUCUUCUUUCAUCUUCCAUUGGUCUUUUUUUCAUAUAGCAGCCAGAGUGAUUCUUUUAAAAUAUAGGAUCUCUCCCCAAAACCUUUCCAUGGAUUUUCAUAAAAUUCAGAAUAAAAGCCACAGUCCAUACCAUGGUCCACUUGACUCUGCAGGAUCUUGCCAUUGGCAGCCUUCAGAUCCCAGCACUAGCUGCUCACCUCCUCCUGGCUGUGUUCCAGCCAUGCUGCUGCUAUAAUUGCCCAAGCACAUCCUCACCCUAGAGUCUGCAUGCUGUUCCUCUGCCCAUCCUCCUCUUUCCAACAACUGCAGUGGGUGAUCUCUCACUUCAUCUCUGUCUGAUCCGAGGUCUUCCCUGAAAAGCCUGUCUGACACUGGCCCACCAUGCAUCAUUCACCUUGAUUGGCUAUAUUCUCCACUGAGCAUAAAUUAAAUGAGGGCAAUUUCUUUGCUUUUGAUCCUUAUUUCAUGUCCAAUGUCCAGAGAGGAUUUGGCACAUGGUAGGCUAUCAAUAAAUAUUGUUGAAUGAAUGAAUGAAUGAAUGAAUGUCUUUAUUACCACUAUUCUGGUUUAAGCCACUGUGGCCUCUCGCCUAACAAUUCAAUAAUCUCCUAGUGGGUCUUCCAGCUUCCAUGUUUGCCUCUUCCAGUCUGACCUCCAUAGAGAAGACAGCAUUCUGUUUUAUAUAUGUUAAUCAGGUCAAGUUAUUCUCCUGCAUGAAACUUCCCAGUGGUAAUUUGUCAAACAAUGCAAUCCAAAUAUAGCAUAAUACAUAUACUAAAUUAUACACUACAUCCAAACUCUUUCUAUAUAGUAUAGGGAGGUGGAUUUGAGCUCUCUCCUGCCUAUCUCUCAGCAGCUGACUCCACACAUCCACCUUCACCAGUACACUCCAGCCAUAGCGACCCGCAAGCACCUCUAGCCCACUUCCAUCUUAGGGGCUUUUUUUAUACUGUUAGGUCCUUUUUUUGGGGAAUACUUACACCCCAAUCUUCACAAGGCUGGCUUGUUUUUGGUCCUUGGAACUUCAGCUUAAAUAUCACCUUAGCAGAAGGGACUUCCCUGUCUUCCUAGUACAAUGUAGACACCAGUCAUCACUGUCUCCGUAGCCCUAAUCUUGACCUAAUAUUUUUCUUAUUCAUUGGUGAUGGUCUGCCUCGCUCCCUCCCAUCUCACCUAGAAUAUAAGCUCCCAGACAUGAGGGAUUGUGCUGUCCUUGUUCUGCAUGGUGUCCCUAACAUCUAGGAUGGUAGUUGGCACAUACUAGGUGCUUAAUAUUUAUUUCUUGCAUCCAAUAGUUAAUAUUUUAUACUAUCUGAUACUAAACACCAUUUCUAGUGAGAGGAAGAUAUCCUGGUAAAGUUGCAUAUAGUUUGUUUCGUCCUUCCAAAUGAGUACAAUUUUCAAUUGGGACAAAUUUUCCAAUUAACCUAAAACGAUGUUCCCUCACAAGUCACACAUCCACCACAUCUGCUGAGUCUUCUGAGUAGGACCUUUCUAGUGACUUGGGUUAUACAGAUUUUAUUUUCCUCUACUAAGUGGCUAUUAUCCACACAAUGAUCAAAAGACCUUACAGAUGGACAGUAACUUAGGGUUUAUAGAAUCAGUUAUAAAAGCGAGCCUUUGAUCUGCCCCCAAACCCUGCAUUCAUUAGCGUUGUGUGUUAAGAUGGAGAGCAAGUGCAAAGAGGUAAAUGACUUUCCCAAGAACACAGGGCAAGGAAAUGGUGGCAUGAGAGCUCAGUUCAGGUUCCCCCUUUCUCUCCAAAUGUCUUGUUCUUUCCAUAGCACAUGAUCACCCUUCAAGAGACUACUUGGAAACAUGGAAGAUUAAAAAUGCAUCUUUCUCCUCUUUAGGUUUUCUCUCUCCUUACUUGCCAAAUCUUUACGAAUGCUAUGGAAUUCAGACAGAGCCCUGGUGCCAGAAAUCCCAACAAAGUUUGCAGACCUGAAAUGAACAUCUUUCUUCUCUCGUUCCAUCAUUUGUUCUGGUACUAAGAUAUGAGAAUUAUAAUAAUUUAUAUUUUAAUUACUCAGCCAUAAAAAAGGAUGAAAUUCUGCCAUUCGCAGCAAUGUGGAUAGACCUAGAGAACAUGAUGCUUAGUGAAGUAAGUCAGACAGAGAAAGACAAAUACUGUAUGAUAUCACUUACAUGUGGAAUUUUUUUAAAAAAAGCACAAAUGAAUAUAUAUGCAAAACAGAAACAGACUCAUAUAGAAAACAAACUUAUGGUUACCAAGGAGGAAAGAGAGGACUGACAAAUUAACGGGAUAGCUACAAUGUGUAAAAUAGAUAAGCAACAAGGAUACUAUUCAAUAGAAAAAUAAUUUAUAUUUUAGUCACUCAGAUUUGAAGACUCUUGACACAUGACCAAAAAGGGCAUCAAGCAUGACUUGUAACUGACAUUUUAUGCAUUUAUUUAAAGGAAGGAUUUAUUGCAAAACACUGGAAAUUUGCAAACUUUUGGGAAAGAAUAUGACAGGAGAUGAGUAUAUGUGUGGGAGAAAGACGAAAAAUAGGUUCUUGAACCUGUAAUUUUAACUCCCACUCUGUUUCUUUCAAAUGUCUACACGGAGGAUAGUGUUUAUAAUAACUCAUCCCUUUAAGGCCAACACAUCCUGCCUGUGGGGCUAUUACUUCUGUCUAAAAAAUAAUUAAUGUAAGGUUUGUUGAUAUUUUUCAGUGUGCUAUGAAAGUGACACAUCCAGGGACGAGGGAACUAGCACUUUUUCAAAAAAAAAUAAAUGAUAUAUCUGUAAAUGAAGGAUAAUUUUAAUGUUUAUAAUAAAUGAGAGUACAUUGUUUACAGUUCAUAGGUAACUAAAAUCUACCAUUUAUGGAGAGAAUUUUUAUGGUUGUUAUAUAAAAACAGAUCUAAUCCUGGAUAAUAGCUCAUCAAUAUAAUUUUUUGUGUGUUGUGUAUUUACUACAAGCAUUACUAAAAUAAGUCAGUGCUAUCCAGUUUAGCUUUAUAUCUGGGGAAGAUGAGAUUAAGUGUUUAAAUCAGACUCAAUGACAAUGAUAGGCUAAUUUAGCAGAAAAUGUAACUCAAAUGGAUGAGUGUAAUAUACUUACUUAAGUAAUUCUUGAGACACAGCAGUAAAUGUAAUCUGUUCAAACAGCAACAAACAAUGUGUAGGAUUACUUACUCAUUUAAUCACAAAACAUCCAUGACAUCCUCCUCCUAUUUGGGCAAUAGGUUAUGUUUGUUCUAGUAUCUAGGAAAAUUUGCCCAGCUUCAGAUACUAAUCUCAACUGGCUUCCUGGUAGAUUCUGACAGUAUCACAUUUUUGGCCAAACUACACUGUCUCUUUUUUUCUGAUGUUUUCAAAAUCCUUCAGAGUCAAACAGUGACCACUGUGAAAGCACAUGUCUGAUGAAAAUGAUGAAUGAUCUGACGUUAUGUCAUUAAAUUGUUGUCUUUGGUCAAGAGAUCUGGAGGCUCUGAAUUGAAAACAUAUUUAAGGAGCUCCUGCUGUGGCACAGUGGGUUAAGAAUCUGACUGCAGUAGCUCGGGUGGCUGUGGAGACACAGGUUCAAUCCCCAGCUCAGUGCAAUGUGUUAAAGGAUCUGGUGUCGCCUCAGCAUGGGUUGCAGCUGCCUAGAACUUCCAUAUGCUGAGGGUGCGGCCAUUAUAAAUAAAUAAAUAAACAAAUAUAUAAAGUAAACUGAAAACAUAUUUAAAAGAAACAUCCUAUGGUUACCCAGCUCGUCAGGGGUGAAACUGUGUUUCAAAUGCAGGUCCAGCCCUGUGCUUUUCCUUUCCAUGUCCCUACACUUUCUCACUGAACUAAAACUGCAUACUGAUACUUUUAUAUCUGUUAAUGUUACCCAGAAAGCAUUUUUUUUCCCUGAUGGCGUUAUCCUAUUCUUUAUUUCCCUGCAAUAUUAAAUGAGUUUUAUGAGUUUUUCACAUACAGAAUGACAGCAGAUAUGUUUGAUUGACUGAGGCCUUCUAAUGGGGUUCUUUCUCUCUCUCUCUUUUUUUAAGGGCCACACUUGUGGCAUAUGGAAGUUCUCAGGCUAGGGGUCAAAUUGGAGCAGUAGCUGCUGGCCUACACCACAGCCACAGCAAUGUCAGAUCUGAGCAGUAUCUGUAACCUACACCACAGUUCAUGGCAACACCAGAUCCUUAACCCACUGAGCAAGGCCAGGGAUCGAUCCUACAUCCUCAUGGAUACUAGCCAGAUUCGUUACUGCUGAGCCACAAUGAGAACUCCCUAGUGGGCUUCUUUCUGGCUGACCGUGAAUACCUCCUUCAAGUGAGCUGGGAAGAAGGAAGAUGCUUCCCCAUCACACCUCUGAUUUGGCUCUGGUGCUUGGGGGCAGGUGAGGAUUCUCAGCCUGAGAUGGGGAGACUGGCUCUGGACACUCCAGAUACCAUCUAGGAAUUUUGAUGACUUCUGCUUAUCAAAAUUUUGCUCCCUAUUAAUGGAGAUUAGAAUAUCCUAAAUGUAACUCCACCGUAUAUGUGGGAAGAGCUAACUAUAAUACUUUAGAUUAUUGCAUCCCAUCCCUAAUGCUUAUUCAACGAUGUAAAUACUGAGAAAGAAAAUGUGCACACUGCAGUAUUGCAAAGAUGUCUUUUAGAACCAGAGGUCAAAUUAGCCACAUAAGGAAAUGGAGUGACAUUCGGAGAAUAUGCAUAUUAUUUAAUAAUCCUGGAAGUAUUGUGGGAAAUUAGGCCUUUAUAACCCUUUCUGUUUAUAUUUGUGAUGAUUAAAUAUUAUUUAUAUGGAUGUAUUUUGGGAAGUUAUUAAGAACCAUGUACAUAUGUUAAUUAUUAUUUAUAAUGGAGCUUAGAAAACAAACAGUAUUAGAAAGCUUAAGAGGGAGGGAGAAAAUGAAAGAAUGAGCUGUAAAAUAUUUUCAAAGACUGUCAAUUAGUCAUUGACUUAGUCAUAAUUUUUAUCUACUGAAACGUACAUGGAAAAUGCCCUUAUAAUUUUACUGCCUUUCAUAGCCUUUAAAAAUAUAUAAGUUCUUCUUAUCUCAGAAUCUGUAGAAUGAUAGCAGUCAAAGCUAGUUAUUUAUUAAAGUUCCUUUCUCAUAGGCGCUAUAAUUCCAAGAGGAAAGAGACCAAUUUCUGGCUCUUUAUUUAUUAUUAUUAUUAUUUUUUAGGGCCACACUUGCAGCAUAUGGAAGUUCCCAGGCUAGGGAUAGAAUCAGAGCUGGAGCUGCCGGCCUAUACCACAGCCACAGCAAUGCCAGACCCAAGCACAUAUGCAGCUACACCACAGCUCACAGCAGUGCUGGAUCCUUAACCCACUGAGCAGGAACAGGGAUCAAACCCGCAUCCUCUUGGAUCCUAGUUGGGUUAGUUUCUGCUGAGCCACAAUGGGAACUCUGACCAUUCCUGGCUCUUAAUAUUUUUUGAAAAUUUUACCUUCUGUGAAAGUGAAGAAAGGAAAACUGUUCAUAGGCCAACCUAACAAUCUCAAACUCAGGCAUAGCUUAUAUGCUUUAAUUCUUAUAGUUCCUCAGAAUUGAUAAAUGCAUCCAAAAAUGAUCGUCAUAAAAUAGGGCCAGUAUCAUCAUAAAACAGGGUGAGUAUCAUCACAGAUAAAUAUAUGGAACAAAUAAUACAUUAAGAUAUGGCCAUGACCAUGAAUUCUAAUGAGGAAUUAGAAACUAGUUACAGAAACUAAAAGCAAAAGUCCAGAAUGUGAAACAAGGUAGAUGUGUUCUUUUUCUUCCUUUUUUUUUCCUGUUAAGCGUUCCUUGUGAAAAUUUCCUAUGAGGUACAGUCACUGCUGUACUUUUUUCCCUUCAGAGAAACAGAUCAGAUAAGCAGAUGCCUUUAGGGUUUGGUUCAUCAAUUUUGACAAUAGAUGGAGUCUUCUGUUAUGAUGAAGAGUGAUGUGUUAAUGGGCAGAAGGAUUCGACCAAUAACUGGUGAAAAAAUAAUACCCUCCCCUUCUAGCCCAGAGGGUUUCCAUGGGAAUCCUGUCUGUAUUAGCUUUGGCAGAGAUAUGUGGCUAUUUUUAGAGAAUUUGAAAGCAACUAAGAAUGCCUUUCACUUUUAGUCCAAAGCUGAUCUGCUAUCCAUAAUUAUGAA
rnacentral:lncRNA from 1 species